rnacentral:rRNA from 1 species
ACAACUUUCAACAACGGAUCUCUUGGCUCUCGCACCGAUGAAGAACGCAGCGAAAUGCGAUAAGUAAUGUGAAUU